AGAUAUUUUAGUCUUCUUCUCAGUACUGUUACUGGCACUUAUGCUAUUUUACCUAAUUAUGCAAUGAUUGUUUAUCCAUUCAGGUCAGGCUGAAGAGAUACUUGGAAAUGAGGGAAACUCGAUCAUAUCAUGAUGGAGGGCCUUGGAGGAGAUAGAUUAUCUGCUUUGCCAGCGUUUUGGGAUGUACUUGAAAGAAGAGGCUUUAAGGAAUCCAGCUUCUUGAAUGAGGUGGCAGAGGUGGUUAGAAUCGUUAAGUAAUUAGGAGUUGCUCUUUUCAUUUGCACAUCUUCCAGCUCCAGCGACGAUGAUACCCCCAAUGCUAAGCAUUAGGGGAAAGCCUUUGACGGUCUUGCUCCAAGUGAAUACAAGUGGAGAAGAAUGCAAACAUUGUUUGCUGCAGCCAAAUCAGAAGUUUCUGGUGCUGCUUCUAUGACUCGGACGACGGCCACCCGCUUGAGGAGUUCUUUGAAUUAGCAGAUAGGAAGCCUGAUGAAGAAAUGGCAGUUGUAUAUGCGCGUGACAACUGUGGAAAUACACAUCAACCUCAAAUCUGGAUGAGGAAGGAUGCAUAAAUGAAUGAUCUGUGAUUCCAGGUCUUGGUUGCACUGAUAACUUCUAGAGUAAGGAAUCAGUCAUCAAGUUUAUGAAACUUGGUCGCACUGAUAACUUCUCACACUAUAAGUUUCCUUUGAAGUUUCAAGUGAUCUCAUAAUUAAAGUAAAGGGAAGCAGAUAUUUGCUUCACAAGGUCACACAAUUUCCACUUCUGUCGAGGUCUUUGAGGCUACGGAAGUUCUGCUAUGCUAUCAGAGUCACCCUCAGAACCCACAACAUUGUAGCUGCUAGCAGAAAUGCUGAAUUCUUGGACAACUGAGAAAGUUGAGAAGGGAAACUUGAUAUAUAAGCUCCAAGCGUUCUUCAAAUCUUGCAUGCUCCAUGGCUAGAGGGACGGAAUUUCCACUCUACAAAGCACGAAGGUGACAACCUUUCAGAUCAGUACACAAAGAUUUGUUAUAUCGGUGGGGAUGUUAUUAGAAUCUCUUAGAUUGUUGGUUGGUUCUGGAAUUGAAGGCUUAAUAGUAGAAUCUAACAUGUAAAUGCAUAUGCAUGUAAUUCUUUAAAUUCCAAGUUCUGAUAUCCAUAUUGAGUUGAUAAAACCGUUUCUAUUAUCUACAUUAACCCAAAGCAGUCUCUUAACCCAAAACCCAAUCCAAUUUAAGAUAAGAGAUUAUUGAGUCGGCCUCUUGCUUCGUAUUGGUUUGUUUCUUAUUUUCAGUCAGUUUUUUUUCUUUUUUCUUUUUUCCUAUGUCAUUGUACAUUGUUUUUAACCAGCAAAAUUGAUAUAUGUUUGUUGUCUUAGAAGUUCGUCUCUUUCUGUUUUGAAAUUGUGAUUGUCCCAAUAUUUUGAUGGCUUGGAGAUUUAUUUGUCUGGUAUGAAUGUGAAACAAGAAUCAUUUACAAAGUUCCAGUGGUGAUCAUGUGCUCAGAGAACAUCCUCAGUUGAAUCGAUAGAUUAUAUCCUCAGGCUGUUGAGAAGGCUUCACAAACUGAUAAGCUGUUUGUGCUUCUCCAAACAGCAUUCAUAAUUUUCAAAAGUAGAAGACUUAACUGUCAUUAAGAUUCAUAACCUUUAGUUCAAUUUCGACAGUGCUUUGAACCAAGCCUGCAUUAUAUAUUAGUAACCUUCAAUGCUUUUAGCUAGAGAAUAGCAUUGUGAAUUUUGAGGAACCUUACAUGCUAGGCUCACUAACUUCGGAAAGGGCAACUAAAUUGUGAAUUUUGCAAACCGAUCUUAUUUAUAUAUCUGAGUAAAAGAAAUUUGAUUAGUAAGAGCUAACUGGGAGUGCCUGUUUUGAAGGAUUAAAGUUAGAGAUAGAAGUUAAAAUGGAUUUUGUGUUUAUGCUUUUGUUUUGAGUUACCCUUUUAGGCUUUUGUUUUGAUCUUUGAGUGAGAUGUAAAAUCAGACUGUGUGGAAUUGAUCAUACCUAUAGUGUUUUCAUAAUUUGUUUAUUCUUUACCUUUGAUGUUUCAAAAAUUUCCGGUUUUGCACAUCUAAACCACUGGAAUAUUUGUAUAAAAGAAGAAGUUAAUAGGCUAUUUUGUUUGCUUUGUUUGAUUCCAUUUGAUUUCUGUCAGUUUUAUAUGCAGCAAGUUCAAUUAUUCUCCUUAAUUUCAGUUUUUACAUUUGCAGCAAGUCUUAGACCAACCUUUAACUUCUUAAAUCACUUUAUACUCUUUUAAUAUCUCGAGCUAUAGGAAUGAAGAAAACACAAUGCAGACAGGGGAACCUACUUUCUACUCUCAUAUUUCAAUUUACUCUCUGUAUACCUUCUCUUUUAACUUUUGAACAUAAAGCUGCUCACAAAAUUAGCAACCAAAUAUAUUGCUUACUAAUAAUGGUACAUACUUUUACAGUUAUAGAGUCCAUGCCACCAUUGAAGAUCCAAACAGUGAAGCCACAGUCAAGCUUAGAGGAAAACCAGCUGAACAAUUGCUUGGAAUGACUUGCAGAGAGAACUCAUAAACAAUUACCCUUAUGCUCCACAGGAAACAUUGCCAGAAGAAAUAUUGCAAGCAAAAGGGCAAAUUCACAUUUUCCUAAUCCAAAUCAGUGAAGCAAAUGACUUCAUAGUGAAAGGUAUCUUUCCAAGCACAAAGAAUCAACCAAGUGCCAGCACACCAGCUCAUCCACUGUAUGACAAAAAAAGAUCCGUCGAUAAAAGAAGAAGACAACUAUUUGCUACCAAUCCAGACAGCUUAUAGGAAGAUUGUGAAUGUUCUUAAUAUGGGUCCUCGACCUAAAUUACGUGAUCUUCAAUUCCCAUGACAAUGUGAUAUCAGAAUUUGAAUCAAAGAUGCACAUAAAGCCGAAGUUUUGACCUUGCUAAGGCAUAAUAUACCCCGCUUCAUAACCUUGCUUCUAUAGGUUUGGUUGCGUAAGGAGCCAUUUUCUUGGGUUGCAGAAAUAUAAGCUAAGCAGUCAUGAGAUGGUUAUCCGGAACCCUUGUCCGUGGAGCUAAGGGGGCUUCAAUCCUUACUCUUAUCCCCCGGACUUAGUAGGCCCCGGUGCAAAUCCGAGGCCUUGACCAGGGUCCGGAACCAGAAUUCUAGAUACAUCAAGCUCUGGCGGUCUGGUCAGUAAGCUUGCAUAGGUGCUUUGCUUCAUGAAGUUUCAUUCAACACUAGACAUGAAAAAAGGUAUCUAAAAAUUACAGUAACUGUCUCAACUCAACCCUCCACAAACUAUCGAGAAAAGAAAGAAAAAGAGAACAGAAGAAAGAAAAAAAGGUAGAUAUUCUAAUGACCCACUUGCUAACUUUCUUCAACUUUCUCAAAUGUACUCAAAUGGGUCACUGGGAAUCGUUCAGCAUUUUGGACAUUGAUUUAUGUUUACGUCCUACAGAUCUGUCUUUUCCUUUCAGCUGCCCUGCACUCGACUGCUGAAACAAAUUAACGAAAAUGACCCUCCCCUCCCGUACGUUGAUACAAUAAGGCUCUUUAUUAAACUAGAUGAAUCUUAAAAGGACAUGAAGACAGGCAAAAGUGAAAGUGGUAGCAGCAUCUCAAGCCGCGGCAAGCAAAGUCAAGAGGAAGACACAGACAUUAGCGGUACCAAAAUCCUCAGAAGAUUUCAAGAAUCCUAUUACAGUGACCCUUAAAUAGAUAGCUAGUUUUUGUGAUCGUUAAGAAUGACAAUGGUCUUUUACUGUCAGCCAUCAUUCAUGAAC